GGAUGUGAGGGUGAUCUGGCUGCGAUGUCUGUCACUCCAUUAAUCACCCAGGCUGAUUUGGCUGAUCUGGCUGGUAGGCUGGUGUCCCCUUCCUCUCUCAUGGCUAGCAUCCUUCCUGAAGUUUCAUACUGGGUAGAGACUGGCUUCUGAUGAAGGAGGACCUUUCUUCUGUAGCCAGGAUCUGUGUUCCUCUACUAGACCCAUAAGCUCCUCCGAGCUCAGUGGGGGGCCUUUGUGCUGUUUAUUCACUGGGAGAGGCACCAGUAGUGUUAGAGAGGAUACCACCAAAGAUCAGUGAGUUUAAAGAGCAAACUCAGGGUUUUCU
ensembl:misc_RNA predicted gene, 25277